ACUGUAAUGUAAAUAUCUGUGCUUUCCAAUGGCCUUAAGGGACUCCUGUGAAAGGAUCAUUUGAUCCAUGAAGUUUCGGUCCUUAGUCCUUUUCAACCUUUUGUCACUUGAACCACAGGUGGAAAACCAAUGCUCUGAGGGUUGGGAAUAGGAAUGAGAAGAAAACACGCAAUGGGAGGCACAGUUAAGGUGUGGACUUUGGCUCUGAAGGACAGUGACCUCAAUGGGAAAGG
rnacentral:lncRNA from 1 species